CGUGCCUCGCCGUCGCCCUGCUGCCUCCUCCGGUCCUCCCACCGUCGACGGCCGACGGCGCGCCACCUCUGACGUCUCUGGUGCUCCCUGACUCCCUCUCCUCCCUCCCUACGUCUCCCUGUUCCUAACCCUAACCCUAAUCCCAUUCGGAUCUGGUGAUUGGUGAUACCCUAACCCCCAAUCCCAUUCGGAUCUGGUGAUUGGUGAUCCUCGUUCAUCGUUGGUGCUCCUCGCUGGUCGGCUGGUGCUCCUCGCCUCAUCGGAUCGAGUUGUAGCUUCACGCCUUCACAGCUGGACGACUGGUGCUCCGUGCUCCUCGUUGGUGCGUGAUUCCCUUCCUGGCUUACUGAUUCUUCUCUGUCUCCGGUCCGCCGGUCCGGUGGUCCGCUGCUCUGCGCCUUGUGCUGUAGUGCCCCUGUAUGGUCACUGGCUCACUCAGUCACUCCUCGCUGCCUCACUGGUGCUGUAGUGCCCCUGCUGGCUGCUUGGACAUCUUUAAUUUUGUUCUGUUUUCAUUUUCCUCCCAUUCUCGUCCUCCUUCUAUUCUAAUCUAACCUGUCCGGUUGCCCGACUUUCUCUGGUGCUCGGCUGGUCCUUGCUUGCUGUUGCUGGUCGAUCUGCGCCUCUGCUCGGCUGCUCCUCGGACCUUGGCUCCGUUCCGUCGUCUCUGGUGCUCCAGCUUCGAAAGGUAUGUUUAAUUUUAGCAUUUAAUUCUUGUAAUCAUGUGGAUAGUUGCUUUGAACCUUGUCACUGGCUCACUCCUCAGUCAGUCAGUCCUCACUGCCUCCAUUUUUUUGCUUUGAACCUUGUAGCCGUUGAGGUAGCCGGAGCCGACUGUACGUUGUAGCUCAUGGACCUUGACGCAAUAGCGGCUGCAGAGGAGGAGGAGCGCAUGCUCGAGGACUUUAAUGAGGCUGAGGAUGCUAGGUUCUUCAUUGGUUUCGGUGAGAAUGAAACCCAUGGAGAUCCUAUUCAUAUCGAUACUGUCGCUGGCUCUGCAGUAGGGACUGGCACAGGCUCCACAAGCCUGCCAGAGUUAGUCCCUGAUCCUGAUGCUGGUGGAAGCAACUCGCACUCAAAGAAAAGGUCCAAGUGCUGGAAUGACUUUGAUGAAUUGACUAAGAUUGUGGAUGGCAAAAAAGUCAGGUAUGCUGCUCGUUGCAAGCACUGUAAGCAAACUCUUAGUGCUCGUUCUACUUCUGGUACUGGUCAUUUGCUUCGUCAUAAUUGCCCUGCUAAGAAAGCACAUGAACGCUGUGGGCAAGUCCAAUCUGUGCUUAAGUACAAUGCUGACGGUACUUUGCAACGUUGGGAGUACUCUGCUUCUAUUGCUAGGACUGAACUAUGUCGUUUGAUUGCUAGGGAUGACCUUCCUUUAUGGCAUGGUUCUACUCCUGCUUUUCAAUGUUAUAUCAAUCGUUCUCACAAUCCUAGAUUUGUGCAUGUUUCUAGACAGACCACUGCCAGGGACAUGGUUAAAUUUUAUAAUGAACGUAUGGUGAACUUAAUUGGAACUUUUAAAAAUGAUGUUGGUUCUGUUUGUCUUACUUCUGAUAUUUGGUCUGGCAAGGCAAAGGAGGAUUACUUAAGCGUAGUAGCUCAUUUUGUUAAUUCUAAGUGGGAAUUAGAAAAAAGAUUGCUUGCACUUAGGCUCAUUGAUGGCAAGCAUAGUGGUGCUAACAUUGCUAAUCUUGUAGCUACUGUUAUUGAUGAGUAUAGUUUAACUGAAAAAGUGUUUGCUAUAACUUUGGAUAAUGCUUCCUCAAAUAAUGUUGCCAUGAAAUUUCUAAGACCUUUCUUGUGUGGUUACCUUGGUGUACCUGUUCCUGAUAGUAGCCUUGGUAUUGAUGCAUCUGAUGAUGAAUUGUCUACUAUGUUCUUGCAUCAACGUUGUUCAUGUCAUGUUAUUAAUCUAAUUGUUAAAGCUGGUUUGGAUCCUAUCAGAACAUAUCUUGAUGACUUUAGAACUGCUAUAACAUUUUUAAAUGCAUCUAAUCAACGUAUAGCUGCAUACAAAAGCUAUUGUAUGAGUAUGGCUAUUCGCCCUCGUAAAUUUGGUGUUGACAUGGAUGUUAGAUGGAACUCUACCUAUUUAAUGAUUAAACACUUGUUACCACACAAGUCCACCUUCUCUGUUUUUAUCAAAACCCAGUAUCCUUUGAAUGAAGAUGGGACUCCUUUACUCACUGAUAACCAUUGGGCAAUUGCUGAAAAAGUGUUAUCUUUCUUAGAAUUAUUUUAUGAAUCAACUGUUGCAUUGUCUGGUGUCUACUAUCCAACUGCUACUUUAAUGUUGCAUCACAUUCUGAGGAUAGCUAGACAUCUAAAUGCAUUUGAGAAUGAUAUAUUGCUAAGAUGUGCUGUUGUUCCUAUGAAAGAUAAAUUCUUGAAGUACUGGAGAGACAUUCCAAUUUUAUAUGCAGUUGCUUUUAUUUUGGAUCCUAGAGCUAAAAUGAGGGGUUUUAACAAAGUCCUUAUCAAGUUAUCUAGUUUAACUGGUACUGAUUACUCUAGGCUUCCAUUUGAUGUUCGUACUAAGCUAACCAAAGUAUUUCAGUUGUAUGAGACCAAAUUUGGUGACACACGCAUGCGUGGCGCCCACCAACCAUCAUCCCACUUAUCUGGUAAGAAAAAAAUGGCAUGGGAUGACAUUUAUGGUGAUGAUGACCUUGAUGGUGAGUUCUCUACUCCUCUGGGAAGGAGAUCAGGUUCUUCUUCAACCCCUCAAGCUAUCUCUACUGUUGCAUCUACCUCUGAGUUAGCUUCUUACUUAGACAGUGAUACUAUCACUGAGUUUGAUGAGGACUUCAAUGUCCUUUCUUGGUGGCAUCAGCAUAAGUUAACUUAUCCUAUUCUUUCACUACUAGCUAAAGAUGUCUUGACAGUGCCAGCUUCUACUAUUUCCUCUGAGUCUACAUUUAGUCUUGCUGGCAGGGUAAUUGAAGAGCGUCGACGUCGUCUAGCUCCUGAUAUGGUAGAGAUAUUAUCCUGCAUCAAAGAUUGGGAACUUGCUGAUGGUCACCUACAACACAGUGUGGAGGAAGACACAAAAGAACUUGAAGAUGAGCACGACAACCUGUGGCUUGAUGAUCCAGCAACACAAUCAGCUAGGGAUGAUUGAAAUGCUUAGUCUUGCAACCUACUAGUCUUAAUGUCUUAUGAGUUGUAAUGGACUGUACACUGUAAUGGACUGUAAUGAUUUAUAAACUUAGGAGCUGGGCCGCACUCUUUUUUCCUUCUUAGGGUUUUCUCACGAGGUGUGAGUUUUUACCUAAGAAGGUUUUUAAUGAGGCGGCCAUUGCACUAACAGCUCCAAAUAGUCAUUUCAUAUAUGU
rnacentral:lncRNA from 1 species